GCAAGUGUGCACUGCGCGCCGGAGGCCACGGAGCGCACUCCGCAACACGCUAUCAGGUGUAUCCUCGGAAGAAGCACGUUCUGUUUGUUGGACAAUGGUGCCUUUCGCAGUGCGGGUCUUGCAUCUGUAUAACUGCAACAAGCGGCAGCGGCCCUUGUGUGUCCGCCGCACAUCUGCGAAAACGCCCAGUGUCCACCUGUGAAGACCUGCCGCGGUAGACUCAGCACUGACGGCAGUUUCUGCGGGUGUUGCAACGUCUGCAUCCACGAACUAGGGUUCGGAGAACCAUGCA